AGAUAUUGGCUUCUUUUCUUUUGUUUAGAUCUUUUAGAAGCAAUCUCUAACUAAAACAUUCUUCUGCUUAAGAAUGAGGUAUUAGAAGAAAAAAUCAUUUUACUGAAGGACUUAGAGACUAGGACAUUAUUUAAAAAUUAUAAUGAGCUUUCUCUUGUGGAUCAUUAAGAAAAGAAUCUAUGUAAGAGUCAAAUGAGCAAAGAUAAUUUGGAUUUUAUAUAGAUUUAGGUGAAGGCACUGCAUGGAAAUUUCAAAUAGCCUUUUCCAUUUCUACGGCAGACACUCUUGGUUGUCAGCUUAAAAGCCAUCUGCCCAACAGGAUGAUGAGUUUGUUACAUUAAAAAAUCUUGUUUUUCAGUGAAGGUUGCAUUCCUGCACAGCUGAUAGCAGGUUCAGUUCAGUUCAGUAGCAGGUUAGUAAAUCAUAAUUAGUAUGAGCAAAUCUACAUAUAUUGUUGGUGAUCUGUGUACAAAUGGGUG
rnacentral:lncRNA from 1 species